rnacentral:rRNA from 1 species
UACAGAGGAGCCAAGCGUUGUCCGGAUUGACUGGGCGUAAAGCGCACGCAGGCGGAUGCGCGCGUGGGGUGUGAAAUCUGGCCGCUUAACGGCCAGGCGCCAUCCCAUACGGCGCGUCUGGAGUGAUGCAGAGGUCGAUGGAAUUGCCGGUGUAGUGGUGAAAUGCGUAGAGAUCGGCAGGAACACCCAGGGGGAAACCAGUCGACUGGGCAUCUACUGACGCUGAGGUGCGAGAGCGUGGGGAGCGAACAGG